rnacentral:lncRNA from 1 species
UUAGAACCCUAGUAUCAUCCUCUCAAGGUUCUCUCAAGGUUCAAGACCCAAACAAAGGGCAAACAACACAAAUCAAGUGUCGGGAAUUCUGUGGAGCUAGAAAGUCUCUUGUUCUUCUUGUUGUUGCUCAAUUUUUGUGUUGUUCCAGCUCAUGUGGGAGGUUGUUUUAGAGUUUAUAUGUUCUAUAAAUACUCCCUCAUAUUAUUAAUAUCAAACCUAGGUGAUUCCAAGUCUCCUAAAGUAAUUUUAGUGCCGAAAACACUAAUUGACCGCUAGUUUCAAUUUCUUGUUGUUGUGGCAGCAUUGGAGGGAUAUUUCAUGGAAAUUUAAGGUCAAAUUGGAGUUUUUCUUUCUGUAUAAGGUUAAGUAACCUCUUACUCUAUAUGUAUUUAAGAUUAUCCAAGUUGUGGCUAAGCCAUUGAAGCUAGACCUUGUGAAAUAUAUAUAUCGAAAGGCUUGGAAGUAAUGUUAUCAGUUGGUGGACUAUUUUGGAAGACUCAAUAUGAUUAUUAUUGAUGUUGUUUGGACUGUUUGAUGAUUGUUUUGAAUGGUGUGAAGUCAUAAAUAUAGGGGAGGUGUUGUCCUUUUAUCGUAAAUAGGUUGUGGUCGAUACACAAUGGCUAUGACGCUUAUAUAAUAACGAUAGUAUCAUUUCUCUUAUUGAAGACUGAGGG